CUUCAAAGUUCAGGAGUCUCCUAAGUGUCAUGAAAGAGGAAACAAUGCUGCAUGCUGGUGGGGAAUGGGAUCUAUUGUUUCUCCAGGAACCACCUAAAGCAUGAUAAAACGGCCCAAGAUUAGAAGGUGUCCUCCAACUGGGUUUGCAGCAGCAAUGAUGGAAGUUCUUGCAGGGAGGCUACAAAC